rnacentral:rRNA from 1 species
AUGGCUUCAUCCGGUUCCAUGACGAGGCCACCGUGUGCUCACCAAGAAGACAUGCCACACAAGUGGAAGGACGCAUCUUUGGACAAGGUGAAGGAGAAAGAUGUGAAGAUUCCGCCAUGUUGGUGUGGAGAUGUUUGCAAGGUGAAGGAGUCCACCGACCGAAAGAAGUCAUGGACCGAAGGAAGGAGAUAUUUUGUUUGCCCCAAUUAUGCUUAAGAUCGUGCGCUUCCAACUAACGCCUAUGACCUUCCACAGGUAUGCUAG